UAUCAGUCCCACAUUGAAAGUUAAAGAAGUUAGUUCUCUGUUUAUAAUGCAGAGACUGCAGUAUUAGAUUGUCUCUUCGGAGACAUCUGAUAAAAUUGGAACGAUACAGAGAAGAUUAGCAUGGCCCCUGCGCAAGGAUGACACGCACAAAUCGAGAAAUGGUCCAAAUUUUUUUGGCAAAUCUUGCUCCAUAUAUCCAACCUUAAGAGUAAGUCUGUCACUCUAAUCAAGUUAUCUGUUUCAAAUCUGAUACCAAAAAUGUUGACCCACAGUGAUAUCUAAAUUAUAUCGCAACGGGGAAGGGUCAAUUACAGUGGUUAUCUUCCCCCUCAUUCAUGAACAAGACAACAUCACAUUAGUUUAUAUUUUUUAUGAAGUUAAUGAACUGGAUUUCUGGACAUGUUGAUCGAAAAUUGAACAAGAUGGUAUUCAUUAAUUAAGCUAAAAUUGCAGAAAGAUGGUAAAUAUCAAGUAUUUGAGUGACUUGACAUCUCCCAAGCUAAACACUAAAAUGAACUCUCAAAUAUUUUCUUCAUAGUUCGAUUUUAGUCUCACUCUUAUCUAUUUAAAGUCUUCAUGAUUCUCUUUCCGCUCGAACUUAUCUGCCUUUUCACUGAUUUAUUGUGCAGUUCCUAUCACACACUCCUACUAGCUGGUUCAUUACAUAAAACUAGUACUAGAUAGCCUUGGUGAGUUUAUUUUUUUUUUGACACGUUACUGAAUUUUUUUUUCUCUCACCCAUAAAUAGUCUAAGUUUAAACUUUUUUUCUAGAGAAAUAUAGAUAAUUCAAAAUCUUCUGCACAUAUAGAAGCUUAUAAUUUUAUUGGUGGAAGCUCCUUUAAGGAUCUCAAAAAAGAGCUUCCUCCAAAGAUAAAGAAAGGUGAUAUUUAGACAAUUCAGACACUUGAAAAAAUAAGAAUUGCUUUACCCCAAUUUAUGGACUCACUUGUUGGGGUUCUUCAAGAGCUAUCUUAAUUGAAGGCUUUCCUCAAUUUCAAAAAAUUAUCCGAGUAGCUAGUGUAGUUAGCACUAGAAAAGGACUUUAAUGUUUUUCUAAUUAGGUGCUUAUGUUGUGCUUUGUUGGGAAAAAAAUGGUUUUCCACUUUCACCUAGUUGUUUGUGAAGGGGGGACGAAAACAGGUUUCAAAUGACAAAAUAUAGAUUUCCAAAUAUGGAAAAUAUUUUCCCUUAUUUAACAAAGAAAACCUUGUUUACCUCGUAAUUCCAUCAAUGUAAAAGGAUUUUACAUGAAUAAUUAAGCAAGAAAUAAUUUUAAAUUAGUUUUCUUUGCGAGGUAGAUGCAUAUGAAUGAGUAUAUGAUUUUUGGCAAUCCUUCUUUUAAAAUGAAAAAUUAUAAUCUGUUAUGGUACUAUCAUAACAAUCUGCUGCUGAAAUCUUAUUCUGAGAUUAAUGGAAGCUCCUAGUAGGAACCUCUCCAAAAAUAGACGUAUGCCACUUAAUGCAGCGAGCACACGGUAUUCUUUAGUAAAAGGCGAAAGAAUAGUUCGCUCUGUGCUCAAUGCAUGGCUGCGUGAGGAUUACAAUGUAAGGCAGAGUAAUUUAUUACUGCAGUUCUAGCUUGGUCUUUAUACCUGACGGGUGUGGGAUUACUUAGUACGGCUAUGAUGAAAUUAUUUAUCCAGCAUAAGACUAGAAAUGCGUGUUGUUUCUGUUGCCUUGAUGAAUAAAUUCUCUGCUGGAAGUAUAUGGCUUAUAUGGUUACUUAUACCUGCCUGGGCUUAUCUAUGAUCAUAAUGAAUCUUGCAAAUAGAAUACAGGUCCUGGAAGAUCCAGUUUACCCACUAAUGUUAUCUUUAGAUUAAAUCAUGUCUGCUGGACAGAAAUGGUGCCAAUCUCUUUUCAAAUGGUGCCAUUUUACUUACAAGCUGGUAUCAAUCACGCAGCUGAUGAGAUUGCGCAUGUUUGACGCCAAUAACAACUAGUAGCUGAUAUGCUUUCACAUAUGAAUUGUGUGUGUCUGACAUUUUAUUUGGAACUGAUAUAAUUUUGUUCGGUUGAUGAUCUCAGAUCAUUCCUUUCAUUCAGGCAGUGUUCUAACCUCAAGUAGUAGGAAUACUUCGUUUGAGGAUAUUCUAAUCAGAGCAAAAGUGUGAAAAUAACUGAAGCAGUGCAAUUCAGGAAUUUGGAGAAUAUCCUAAAUCUUGUAGCUUCAAACGUUCAUGAAAGGCUUUCUGAGUGAAAGGCUGAGGUAACUGAAUUCGGAAGAGCAGAAGAAUAUGUUGUUUAACCUAAACCAGCAAAUCUGCAAUGCUGAAAACAUCAGCUCAGGCAAAUAUUCUCCUUGUACAAGCUAACAUCUAUUACAAAACUUAGUACAAAAGCUUGUCUUUAAACCAAAGAAUGAAUUCCACAUAAAAGAACUUCCUAAUGAAGGUACUUAAUUGUUGGGUAUGUGGAGUGGGACGUUGUAGGGAGGUUAGUGACGAUGUGAUAUUUUUGAGCUACCAUCGCUCGUGACUUGAGCCAACAACAUUCCAGCCUUUCAUUUUCUCUUGAGAAAAUGUAUUUUUUUUUACUAAACACUGUUUCUUUGAUGUAUUAAAUUAAGAAAUGCAGGAUGAAAUUAAGAAAUGUAGGAUGAAAUUAAAAGUGUGAUUUUUAGAGAAUUUGUCUAUUCAAGCCAUGAGCCUCUUCUUAAGAAUGAGUUUGAGUUACUAGAUUACCCCUAUUUAAAUGUUUGGAGAUAGAAUUGGUUAGGGGUUGCGCGAACGCAGACCCCCACUAUCACAAAUUAUGACGUACACUCUUCCUCUUUGGGAAGAUGUUAGGCAAGCAUCCCUCCAAAAGUGCAAUGGAGGCUACAUGCCUAGGCCAUGAGCCUUUUUGAUCGCCCAUUGACCCCGCCCAGGUAAGUAAGUUUGGCAAUAUACCAUGCCUUCUAUUUAUAUCAAUGUUGUUAUUCCCAUUACUGUUUGUCAUUGAUGUGGGAUGGGAACGUGGAAUGUAGAGGUCAAACCAUAAGUAUCAAAGUCUCCCAUGGUGCCAAUGAAGUUGCUUGCAUCUACACUUCUCCCCGUGUGAUAUAGAUUCAUAGAUUUUCAUAUUGUGAGCAGAAGCAUAUCCUAACUUGUCAUAUUGUGCUGUCUUGCUCUCUUUCAGGCCUUCUAGAUUCGUCUUGUAUUUCUCUGCUGAAAAUGAAACAAGCUCUCUAUUUCCCCCCCACAUGAAUACUAAAACUAUGAAACCCACACUUAAGACUGGAAUGACCACAAAAAUAGAGGUAUGAAGAUUACAAAGCAUACUUGUACUUCAUUUUGCUCUUGUUGCCAAAUAUCGGGGAUUGGAGCUUGUAGCUUGUAACUCCAGUGUUGGAGGCUUGGAGCUUAUAAUACAAUCUUUUAGGGGCUAUGCAGUUGAAACUUACCCCGCCGCUUUUGAAUUUUGAUGCCACAGAUGUGGAGUUGCAUAGUUAUUAAGUCACCCAUAACAGGUUAGUGUGGAGUUGUAAUCAAAGCUUGAGAUUUGAGAUAUUAGGCUUCUUUCCAGUGUUUGUUUUGUUUGCAAAGUUGGCUGCCGGCAGGUGAAUAAAGCCCAUGUUCAUGCUAUAUCAUGCUGGAAGAGGACCAGUUUAGGUCUUAUGUUUACAGUCUGAGGUCCGAAACCUAUCAUCCCACAUUGGAAGUAUAAGAAGUUAGUUCUUUGUUUAUAUUACAGAGGCUGCAGCAUAAGACUGUCUCUUCGGAGACAUCUGAUAAAAUUGGAACGAUACAGAGAAGAUUAGCAUGGCCCCUGCGCAAGGAUGACACGCACAAAUCGAGAAAUGGUCCAAAUUUUU